rnacentral:tRNA from 1 species
GCGGAUGUGGCGAAAUUGGUAGACGCACCGGAUUUAGGUUCCGACGCCGCGAGGCGUGAGAGUUCGAGUCUCUCCAUCCGCACCA